UACGUAGGGUCCGAGCGUUGUCCGGAAUUAUUGGGCGUAAAGAGCUCGUAGGCGGUCUGUCGCGUCUGCUGUGAAAACCCGAGGCUCAACCUCGGGCCUGCAGUGGGUACGGGCAGACUAGAGUGCGGUAGGGGAGAAUGGAAUUCCUGGUGUAGCGGUGGAAUGCGCAGAUAUCAGGAGGAACACCGAUGGCGAAGGCAGUUCUCUGGGCCGUAACUGACGCUGAGGAGCGAAAGCGUGGGGAGCGAACAGG
rnacentral:rRNA from 1 species